UACAGAGGUCUCAAGCGUUGUUCGGAUUCAUUGGGCGUAAAGGGUGCGUAGGCGGCGCGGUAAGUCGGGUGUGAAAUCUCGGAGCUUAACUCCGAAACUGCAUUCGAUACUGCCGUGCUUGAGGACUGGAGAGGAGACUGGAAUUUACGGUGUAGCGGUGGAAAUGCGUAGAUAAUCGGUAAGGAAGACCAGUGGCGAAGGGCGGGUCUC
rnacentral:rRNA from 1 species